AACGAACGUUGGCGGCGUGGAUUAGGCAUGCAAGUCGCGGGAAUCCAGCAAUGGGAAACCGGCGUAAGGGGCAGUAAUACGUGGGUACCUACCGCGGGGUCCGGGAUAGCCGUCCGAGAGGGCGGGUAAUACCGGAUGACCUCGUGAGAGCAAAGCUCCGGCGCCCUGUGAGGGGUCCACGUGAUAUUAGCUAGUUGGCGGGGUGACGGCCCACCAAGGCGGAGAUGUCUAGCGGGUGUGAGAGCACGACCCGCGCCACUCGCACUGAGACACUGGCGAGACACCUACGGGUGGCUGCAGUCGAGGAUCUUCGGCAAUGCGCGCAAGCGCGACCGGGCGACGCCGCGUGGGCGAUGAAGGCCUCGGUUGUAAGACCGUCGUCGAGGGGAGGAAAGGACGGGAAACCGGUA
rnacentral:rRNA from 1 species